rnacentral:rRNA from 1 species
ACUCCUACGGGAGGCAGCAGUAGGGAAUCUUCCACAAUGGGCGCAAGCCUGAUGGAGCAACACCGCGUGAGUGAAGAAGGGUUUCGGCUCGUAAAGCUCUGUUGUUAAAGAAGAACACGUAUGAGAGUAACUGUUCAUACGUUGACGGUAUUUAACCAGAAAGUCACGGCUAACUACGUGCCAGCAGCCGCGGUAAUACGUAGGUGGCAAGCGUUAUCCGGAUUUAUUGGGCGUAAAGCGCUCGUAGGUGGCUUUUGUAAGUCAGGUGUGAAAGCCCCACGGCUCAACCGUGGAAUUGCACUUGAUACUGCAUCGCUAGAGUAUAGGAGAGGAAGUGGAAUUUCUGGUGUAGGAGUGAAAUCCGUAGAGAUCAGAAGGAACACCCGUGGCGAAGGCGACUUCCUGGACUAUUACUGACACUGAGGAGCGAAAGCGUGGGAGCAAACAGGAUUAGAUACCCCGUGGUAGGUGACAA